CCAGAAUAUGUUUGGUGUGAUGGAUUGCAGACUUGAAGCUGGUCCUUGUGGAUUUUCCAAGUAUGCAGUCUUCACAAAAAGGAGCAACCAGAUUGGUCAAGCAUCCCAAGAGAAAUUAGAUUUCUCUUUAAAUCUGGUCUUGUUAUUACCAAGGAUCACCUGCCCUCCAUCUACUUCAGUGAAGGUCUCAAACCAUGGUUUCG